UCCCUGCUGGCUCAGAGGGUAAAGCGUCUGCCCGCCGUGCAGGAGACCCGGGUUCGAUUCCUGGUUUGGGAA
rfam:Ovis aries breed Texel chromosome 6, whole genome shotgun sequence.